UAGGGAAUAUUGCGCAAUGGACGAAAGUCUGACGCAGCAACACCGCGUGAAGGAUGAAGCUUUUCGGAGUGUAAACUUCUGUCGGCAGGGAAUAAUAAUGACUGUACCUGCAAAGGAAGCAUCGGCUAACUACGUGCCAGCAGCCGCGGUAAUACGUAGGAUGCAAGCGUUGUCCGGAAUUAUUGGGCGUAAAGAGUUUGUAGGCGGUUGCUUAAGUCUGUCGUUAAAGGUCGGAGCUCAACUCCGGUAUGGCGAUGGAAACUGGGCGGCUAGAGUGUGCUAGAGGUAACUGGAAUUCCAGGUGUAGCGGUGAAAUGCGUAGAUAUCUGGAGGAACACCAGUGGCGAAAGCGGGUUACUGGAGCAUUACUGACGCUGAAGAACGAAAGCCAGGGUAGCAAAAGGGAUUAGAUACCCCCGUAGUCCCUGAGCGGGCUGGCAAGGCG
rnacentral:rRNA from 1 species